AGGAGCAUUUUAAUGUGGUAUUUUAAUAGUUAAUUCCUCACAUUUUGCUUAGUUAAUUCCUUAACGAAUCGAUUUUUAACUCAAUUUCUAUUUUCUUAGGUACAUUGGAGUAAAUGAUGGUGAAAUAAGCAUUAGGUCCACACUUACCUAUAAAUGGUAGAGAAAAAUGGAAAUGUACUAAAAUGUCAAUUUUACACAUUUUCCUACUCCGGCUAGGAGAAACCAAGCCAAGCAAGGAAGAAGGAGCGGCCGCCGGACCAAAUGAACUUCAAAUGAGCUGAAACUUUCCAGAUCCAUUCUAGACAGCCCAAGGAUCAUUUCUUAUGAAGAGUGCAAGAACUUUUGUUGAGUGGAAGGCCUUCAAACAAUCAACCCAAUUUUCUACAGAAGCAAAACUGGAAAACUGGACCUGUAAGAGGUCCAGCAGCAUUUUCGGCCCAACCACAUGGAAUAAAAAUCUGAAAUUUUACCAGGGUGAUCUACACUCAUAAUGGAACAUUUUUUAUGAAGAGGUCAUAGUGAAAUUGGGAAUGCUUGUUGGAGAAAUAAUUGAAGGAAUAAAGGGGCAGAAACUGAUCUAAAAAACAGCUCAACAUCACAUGUUCAUGUUUCCUACCCACAUGAAGAAAGCUAGAUGCUUUUCUCUUUUUCCUUGGAUAUAUUUUUCUGCUCCAAUAGAUCAUCAUCACUUCCAUACUUCUACACCUUCAUGCCUUGCUUUCAUUUCAUCAUUACUCCAUCUUUUCCAUAUUUUACAAACCACUUUCAUUAUUUUUCUUCCAUUUAUCAUUUCACUCUUCUUUUUCUUCCCUAUAUAAACACCUUCUCCUCUCACUCUAAACACAUUCCUUCAUCCAUUUCAUCUUCUUUGUCUCUCCAUUUCCAUUCCAUUUUUCUCUCCAUUCUCUAGUUGCAAAAUUCUGCGUUUUCAAGUAAGAAGAAGAAGAAGAAGAAGGAGCCGGGAAUAUCAUAUCCUCCAUCGUCCACCUUGAAGGCUUGCUUCCAAGAUUCAAGAUUUCAACGUUUCAAGCACUCCAUCUCCAUCUCCAACUCACGGUGUGUACCCUCAAUCCCCGGAAUAGAACGAUCCCUAUUUGCUUAUACUACUAACGAUGUUUUCAGGGUUAAAUUAUGCGCUUGCUUUGAGCGUAUCAAUUUUUGGCGCCGUUGCCGGGGAUUGAAAAAUCACUUGUUUUUGUUUAUAAUUGUUGUAUAUAAACUGUUUGAUACUUAGUUUAAAUUAACUAGGUUGUUUUUUUUUAUUGUUGAAUACGAGUUUAAUUGUGAGUUGUAAAUUAAAGAAGGAAUAGGUGAAGUCGUGCUUAUUAAUAUUGGCCUAAACCCCUUAUUGGUACCUAGUUCAGGUCCCUUAAGGUUGAGGGCGGCCUUUAUUAACAUUCAUUGAACUGUCUAACACACUUAGGACCUUUUACAUCCUAGUAAGAAUAUCCUAUGUGAGAUGGUGUCUAGGAAGGGGACAACGUUCAUGACGGGUUUUUGAAUCCAGAAGUGCUUACAAAUGGGCCUAGCUCAUGCCAAAAUGGAUUUUUCCUCUCGUGUUCACCCUCCCCUACCUGGCCAUUUCAGUAAGGUUGCCCAACGGAUGUAGGAGGGACUUUGUGUCUAGACGACUAUACUUGGGCCGCACGUCCACUUGAUUUACCGCUUGGAAUUAGAUUUGAUAUCAAUAAUGUUUAUAACAAAAGAAAUACUUGUGCAUACUCUUUACGUGUAAAUUAUUUUGUUGUUUCACACUUUAUACUUGUAAAAAUACUUUUUACGUUUUAUACUCACUUGUGUACUUAACUUGUGUCUUAUGUACAAAAUACUUGUUAAUUAUACUUGUAGUUUGUAAUUCAUAGUUACUUGUUUGUUUAUUUUUGUAUUUCUUUGUUAAUAUUAAGUUACUAACUUUAUUUAAUGUAGGUACCGUCUGGCUGCAAGACGUAAAAUACAAGCGCUGCUUGGGAGGCAACCCAAUUCAGAAUAUAAUCAGAUUUGCUUUCUCUUCCCCUUUUACUCCUCCAUUUUCUUUUUGUUUUAGUAGUUAUUUUCGUAAAUUCCAUCCCUAUAUGCUUACUUAUUUCAUUGCAUGCUUUUAAUUGAUUACAUUGAGGAUAAUGCAAUAUUUAAGUGUGGGGGAAGGGAUUUAUAUUUUUGUCUUUCAUUUUGAAUCCUAUAAAUAUUUUUGUCUUUCAUUUUGAGUCCUAUAAAUAUUUUUGAGUCCUAUAUUU